CGGAUUUGGCGGCAAGAUAGCUUUUUAGAGGAACCUGCCCUGUGAACGAUGAUCCACGAGAGCCUUACUUUAUUUUGAAAUCAGUUUGUAUACCGCUGUUGUCAGUUAGAUUUUUGAGAAUAUUUUCUUUUUGGUAAAGCCAAUGACUUCAAGUAAAGGUGCAGCUUAUAGUAAAGUUAGAGGUGGGUUACAUUUAUAAGAAUAAGACGGAUUAAGGAUUUAAUUGACUUAUGAAGGUGGAUUUAACCGUAAA
rnacentral:rRNA from 1 species